UACGAAGGGGGCAAGCGUUGUUCGGAAUUACUGGGCGUAAAGGGCGCGUAGGCGGUGCUCUAAGUCAGGCGUGAAAUCCUGGAGCUCAACUCCAGAACUGCCUUUGAUACUGGCGACCUUGAGUCCGGGAGAGGUGAGUGGAACUCCGAGUGUAGAGGUGAAAUUCGUAGAUAUUCGGAAGAACACCAGUGGCGAAGGCGGCUCACUGGCCCGGUACUGACGCUGAAAUACGAAAGCGUGGGGAGCAAACAGG
rnacentral:rRNA from 1 species